UACGUAGGGUGCGAGCGUUGUCCGGAAUUAUUGGGCGUAAAGGGCUCGUAGGCGGCCAACUAAGUCAUACGUGAAAUCCCUCGGCUUAACCGGGGAACUGCGUCUGAUACUGGAUGGCUUGAGAUUGGGAGAGGGAUGCGGAAUUCCAGGUGUAGCGGUGAAAUGCGUAGAUAUCUGGAGGAACACCGGUGGCGAAGGCGGCAUCCUGGACCAACACUGACGCUGAGGAGCGAAAGCCAGGGGAGCAAACGGG
rnacentral:rRNA from 2 species